AGAUUGAACGCUGGCGGCAGGCCUAACACAUGCAAGUCGAACGGUAACAGGAAGAAGCUUGCUUCUUUGCUGACGAGUGGCGGACGGGUGAGUAAUGUCUGGGAAACUGCCUGAUGGAGGGGGAUAACUACUGGAAACGGUAGCUAAUACCGCAUAACGUCGCAAGACCAAAGAGGGGGACCUUCGGGCCUCUUGCCAUCGGAUGUGCCCAGAUGGGAUUAGCUUGUUGGUGGGGUAACGGCUCACCAAGGCGACGAUCCCUAGCUGGUCUGAGAGGAUGACCAGCCACACUGGAACUGAGACACGGUCCAGACUCCUACGGGAGGCAGCAGUGGGGAAUAUUGCACAAUGGGCGCAAGCCUGAUGCAGCCAUGCCGCGUGUAUGAAGAAGGCCUUCGGGUUGUAAAGUACUUUCAGCGGGGAGGAAGGGAGUAAAGUUAAUACCUUUGCUCAUUGACGUUACCCGCAGAAGAAGCACCGGCUAACUCCGUGCCAGCAGCCGCGGUAAUACGGAGGGUGCAAGCGUUAAUCGGAAUUACUGGGCGUAAAGCGCACGCAGGCGGUUUGUUAAGUCAGAUGUGAAAUCCCCGGGCUCAACCUGGGAACUGCAUCUGAUACUGGCAAGCUUGAGUCUCGUAGAGGGGGGUAGAAUUCCAGGUGUAGCGGUGAAAUGCGUAGAGAUCUGGAGGAAUACCGGUGGCGAAGGCGGCCCCCUGGACGAAGACUGACGCUCAGGUGCGAAAGCGUGGGGAGCAAACAGGAUUAGAUACCCUGGUAGUCCACGCCGUAAACGAUGUCGACUUGGAGGUUGUGCCCUUGAGGCGUGGCUUCCGGAGCUAACGCGUUAAGUCGACCGCCUGGGGAGUACGGCCGCAAGGUUAAAACUCAAAUGAAUUGACGGGGGCCCGCACAAGCGGUGGAGCAUGUGGUUUAAUUUGAUGCAACGCGAAGAACCUUACCUGGUCUUGACAUCCACAGAACUUUCCAGAGAUGGAUUGGUGCCUUCGGGAACUGUGAGACAGGUGCUGCAUGGCUGUCGUCAGCUCGUGUUGUGAAAUGUUGGGUUAAGUCCCGCAACGAGCGCAACCCUUAUCCUUUGUUGCCAGCGGUCCGGCCGGGAACUCAAAGGAGACUGCCAGUGAUAAACUGGAGGAAGGUGGGGAUGACGUCAAGUCAUCAUGGCCCUUACGACCAGGGCUACACACGUGCUACAAUGGCGCAUACAAAGAGAAGCGACCUCGCGAGAGCAAGCGGACCUCAUAAAGUGCGUCGUAGUCCGGAUUGGAGUCUGCAACUCGACUCCAUGAAGUCGGAAUCGGUAGUAAUCGUGGAUCAGAAUGCCACGGUGAAUACGUUCCCGGGCCUUGUACACACCGCCCGUCACACCAUGGGAGUGGGUUGCAAAAGAAGUAGGUAGCUUAACCUUCGGGAGGGCGCUUACCACUUUGUGAU
rnacentral:rRNA from 1 species